GGCUGACAGUGGCUGACCUCCGUCUUCGCUAAACAAAUAUGUUUUAUAACUCUCUAAAACGUGUUAACGUUCUCAUUGGACACAUUACGUGCCAGUGAUCAUCACCAAUCAAUCUCACAGAUUUCGGGGAGGACCCCCCCCUUCUCCAGCAAUAGAUUGAUCUGAUUGGUAGAUUCAAAUGUGCGUUUCCGCCUCUGUCUGUUGAUGAUGGCGCUUGUCAAAGAGAAAUCAUUCAUCAGGUGCUUUGAAACAGAACAUUAAAAAGAAACGAGAGGAAGAUACAGCACGAGAGAGGAGCAUUGUUGAAAUUCAUAGGUCGAACUAAGCCUGCAGAACCACAAGUCAAGAGGACAGAGGAGCCAGAUAGCAGUGGUGACUGAGGCAGAACAAAUAAGGAGAGAGGGCCCAUGCAGAGAAGCAGACAUCAUUAGUGAGGAAUCAGACCCAAAAGACACGAGGACAGAGGAGCCAGAUCGCAGUGGCGACUACAACUCCUGCCGAUGCCGAGGCCGAGUUCUCCCUUCCCACCACCCCAGGCUCAUUGUGCUAGCCACCUCCCUUGUGUGUGUUUUCCCUUCCCCUGUCUGUGUGGGCGUGGUGGCUGUCACUCCUGGCUCCCGGCUCAACCUCCACCUGCUGCAAUCAGUUGGGCACCCUCCUCUGCUACACACCUGAUUUCCAUCAGCCAUUACUAAUGGCAUAUCAGCGGAGGCUCCACAACCUGUCAGCGCCAGAUCGUUGUUUAAACCCCAGUGGAUUACUCUCCAGCCGGAUUACUCUCCACGCUCCUCCACCUC